rnacentral:lncRNA from 1 species
GUAACUACCAUAUCUGCUACCAUAUCUGCUAGUAUUUCUAUGGUUUCGUACUUUCUCACUUUAGUACUCUUUAGUUUUAACUUUGUCACUGAUUUAACGAAAAAAAAUAUCCCGAAAUAGAUAAUUAAAAAAUAAAAAAUAAAAACACAUGGUACUAACUUGAUACACUUUAAACCACAGGGUACUAAAGUGAGAAACUAUGAAACCAUAGGGAGAUAUUUGAAGUUUAUGAGCGGA